CCGUGUAAAUGCAAUAAAAAUAAUGAAAGAAACCCACAUAAUAUUAUUUAAAAAGGAAAACUCACACGAAAGGCAAGUUUUUCAACGCCCAGAAAGAACGCGAAGGUAUAUACGGCGUUUCCAAAAAGAUUUACACUCUGGGAGCCCUGUCCUCCAAGUUUCCCGCGGAAACUCUGCUGAAUUUUAGGCAUUACAAACUUGGAUGAACUUGAUAGCUCCAAGCGAGGAAGACAAGGUUCCUUGCACUGGCCACUGUAAAUGAAUGCGAUUGAACUUUUCAAAGGGAUUGAGCCCAAAAUACAGCUUGAAACACAGUAUGCCCGUGCUACCAGCCUCCUUAGGCUUUCUCCUGGCGAUCAAGCUGAGGAUACGUACUUACCACCGAUACCCCUGUAAAGCAUGGAAAUCGCUUCUUUUAUAGUAUGAGAGAACAUCAACUCAAUUCGAUCCUACCUCGAGGACGAACUGUACAGUGCGCAAAAUAAGGUAUGUAUAAGUACCAGUCGUAACGUCUACUUUACUGCUUAUCAAUUAAUACAAUCAUGAAAACCGGACGUGGAAAGUUUCCGCAUUUUUAGGAACGAGAGCUAAUGCUAUGAAGCUAUACUUCGGGUAGAUGUUUGAGGACAGCAGCAUUAAAGGAUUUUUCAUCGGUCUGGAUCCGGAGAGAUACUGCCUUUAAAUCUGGGACCCCAAAGCUUCUAAAGUACUAAGCAGUAGAGAUGCAAACAUUUGAUAAGUCCUUUGCGUAUAAAAAUGCACUGAAUCCAUCUGUAAACCCGGAUACUGCACCUAGUGGAUCAGUAACAUUUGACACGGCCACUGUUGUACGUUUGCGGAAUAUAGGGGGGUCGGACACAAAAUCGAAACUCAGCGCUGAGGAUAUACCCCCAGCCGAUGAACCGAUGCCCUAACUCCGGCAAAUCCAGAAGGCCCCACUACUACGGCUAAUACUCAUCCUAAAAUAGAUGAAAAUGCACCCGGCGAAACUAGUAUGCCUUCUGAAGUUCAACUCCAAGUAAAGCCGAAGGUUCGAAACGCAGAAGUAGACAAAUUGCCUCACGCCAAGCUAGUGUACUCGAGAGUCGGGAUAAACGAACUAAACUUGAGGAUACUACCCAGUGCACCUAUAAUACUGCGCUCUUACCCUCUGCCCUUACUUACGCAUGCCAAGGAGGUACUGGAACCCAAAAUAUAUCGUGGACCCUGAAUGGCACGGUUAAAGAUCAAUGGACAAAGCCCAUUUAGCAUGAACAUGAUUAUCAUAAAAAAUUCAAACUUCGGAACCUACUUCUCUACCAGCUGGACGCAAGAAGAUUGGCGCAAGUGGCUCUUCUAAGUGAAAAAUGAUGCUGAUGGCAUCAUUGAUCGAAGCAAGGGCCGCAUCUAUGCUAAAGAAUAACACGCAAGUAUACGGAGAUGACCACCUCGAUACUUUUAGUCUAGUCAACAUUAAAUCUGUACGGAUACUUUUAUGUCUGGCAGCAAGGUUAAACAUAAAAGUGUUCACAUUUGACGUUAAUGAUACCAAGCCCCGUGGUUUAUAAGGAACUUGCAUCUGCACAGAGACUGUUUGAAUAGUAUCAAGACUACAUUACAUUCCACAGAAAAUAUAUGGAGGGUUGUCCAGUCAUACUUUGUGACCAGGAUAAGUCCAUCGUCUCGAAAAUGUUGAUUUUGAACAAGGUACCAGGCCUUUUUUAAUUUAACCCAGAGUUCUUAAAGUUGGACUUUUUCUCUUCUAACAACAAACUCUGUUGCAAGACAAAAAAAUAAUUAGCAACUAGACUUAAAUUUAUAUCCUACUGUACACACAGCACAUCUGCCUGGUGUAUGUAAAGGUUUAAUCUACUACUCGAAUAAUAUUACAAGAAAAGUAAAGGCAACCGGCCUUGAUAAAGUUAAUAAAAACUUUAACGAUAGACUUGACUAAGAGGACACGCACGCAAGACAACAUAAAAAUCUUCUUCAAAACCCCCUAUGAUCCAAAUGGAUGACCUAGACGUCAACUAAGAUCAGCAAAACCACACGGGAGGGGUUGAGGUCGCACUAAAGAACAGAAUAAAAAUCUGCAUUCUCUUAAUUACGAGCUCAGAGUAUUAGAGAAAGUUACUGAAAACAAGGUUUCCGGCAACCAACGAUAUACCUUACACUAUCUUCAG